rnacentral:rRNA from 1 species
GACAGAGGGGGCAAGCGUUGUCCGGAGUUACUGGGCGUAAAGGGCGCGGAGGCGGUCUGCGGCGUCGGCGCUGAAAGCGCCCCGCUUAACGGGGCGAGGCGUGCCGAUACGCGCAGACUUGAGGCGAGCAGAGGGUGGUGGAAUUCCGGGUGGAGCGGUGAAAUGCGUAGAGAUCCGGAGGAACGCCAGUGGGGAAGCCGGCCACCUGGGCUCGUCCUGACGCUGCGGCGCGGACGCGUGGGGAGCAAACCGG